GACGAACGCUGGCGGCGUGCUUAACACAUGCAAGUCGAACAGAAAGGCCCUUCGGGGUACUCGAGUGGCGAACGGGUGAGUAACACGUGGGUGAUCUGCCCUGCACUUUGGGAUAAGCCUGGGAAACUGGGUCUAAUACCGAAUAGGACCACGCGCUUCAUGGUGUGUGGUGGAAAGCUUUUGCGGUGUGGGAUGGGCCCGCGGCCUAUCAGCUUGUUGGUGGGGUAAUGGCCUACCAAGGCGACGACGGGUAGCCGGCCUGAGAGGGUGACCGGCCACACUGGGACUGAGAUACGGCCCAGACUCCUACGGGAGGCAGCAGUGGGGAAUAUUGCACAAUGGGCGCAAGCCUGAUGCAGCGACGCCGCGUGAGGGAUGACGGCCUUCGGGUUGUAAACCUCUUUCAAUAGGGACGAAGCGCAAGUGACGGUACCUAUAGAAGAAGCACCGGCCAACUACGUG
rnacentral:rRNA from 1 species